rnacentral:rRNA from 1 species
ACUCAAAUGAAUUGACGGGGGCUCACACAAGCGGUGGAGGAUGUGGUUUAAUUCGAAGCAACGCGCAGAACCUUACCAGGUCUUGACAUACCGGGAUUAUUCGUGUGAAAGCAUGAAAAUUCUCAGCAAUGAGGUAACCGGAACAGGUGCUGCAUGGCUGUCGUCAGCUCGUGCCGUGAGGUGUUAGGUUAAGUCCUUUAACGAGCGAAACCCCUACGAUUAGUUACCAGCGCGUCAUGGCGGGGACUCUAGUCGGACUGCCGCGCAAGCAGGAGGAAGGUGGGGACGACGUCAAGUCAUCAUGGCCUUUAUGACCUGGGCCACACACGUCCUACAAUGGGUGCUACAAAGGGCAGCAAGCCUGCAAAGGCAAGCCAAUCCCCGAAAGGCACCCUCAGUUCAGAUUGUGGGCUGCAAUUCGCCCACAUGAAGCUGGAAUCGCUAGUAAUCGCGGAUCAGCCACGCCGCGGUGAAUUUGUUCCUGAGCCUUGUACACACCGCCCGU